rnacentral:lncRNA from 1 species
CAGGAAUGCUUCAUUUGUCUCUGUCAAAGGUCAGGAUGUGGUGUGCAGCCUCCCCUCACUCCCCUGGAGGUCGGAUGGGGAUGUGGGAGGCCGACUGACUGGCCUUGGCCUUCUCUGGUGCCCCUGGGCUGGGCAGAAUGAAGCAUACCCCACCAUGCACAUAGAGAUCCAUCUUCACACUCAAGCGUGCCCCCCCCUCAAGGCACGGGUACCCAUGCACAUUCCUUGGCACGUGUGCACAGGCUCAGCCGCACGUACAUGUUCACAGGGACAUGAGCACAGGCACAGGUACCUCCAAACAUAGGCAGAGGUCCCAUCCCCAGGCACGUGCUCACUCAUAUCUUCAUGUGAACGUAUACAUGUUGGGCCAGAUGCGGUGGCACAUGCUUGUAAUCCCAGUGGCUCAGGAGGCUGAGGCAGGAGGAUGGCAAGUUCAAAGCCAGCCUCAGCAAAAACAAGGUGCUAAGCAACUCAGUCAGACCCUGUCUCUAGAAAAAAUUACAAAAAAGGGGUUAGGGAUUGGCUCAGUGGUUGGGUGCCCGAGUUCAAUCCCCAGUAUCCACACACACAUUAAAAAAAUACAUUUUCAUCCAUACACUGUGACACACUCCAUGGACACUCACGGGGACAUUCAUGGAAGGCUGUUAGCUACUGCUCCAUUCUCAUGUAUGGGAGUAUACAGAAGGAGCUCAUCCAAAGCCACUGACUAUAGAGAUCCUAGUUGGGGGGCAUGGAAGAAGAUCCCCUGCCCCCAAGGGAGGUCUCUCCCAUGCCUUUUGGAAACCAUCAGCCUCCUGGGGCCCAGGAGACCCCAGGCCUUGCAAAGGGGAGAGUUUCAAUAGGCAAGCCUGGUGGUCACUACAGGAGGCAGGACUGUCCUCAUAGGAAAUCGAGAUGGGAGGCCAAGUUUGAUGGAAGACAUGUUACAAGGGAGAGUUUUCUGGCACAGCCAGGGUGUGGAAGCCAAAGGACACAAAAGGGUCUUUUUGCAGCAGGAGCCAUGGGAGAUUUAGGUGUAGGAGAGUGUCCUUUGGGAAGCUUGAGUGUCUGCCAAACGUUGGCUAAGGGAGCCCAGAGAGGGAACAAAGAGGAUCAGGAGAGCUUCACGUUUACCAUGGGCUUAAGAAGAUAGAGCAUAGGUGUCCCAACAAGGAAGGACAGGAAGAGUGACCCCAGCUGAACCUGGCAGCUGCGGAGUGGGGGUGAGGGUGGGGUGUGUUACUCAUCCGUGUACCCCACAGAGCCAAGCACAGGUUGUCCUGGGGAGCUGAACACAGACAGCGUCUGCAUCAGAAUGGAGGAGUCCAAGUAGCUAUGACAAAGUCCCCUGGGAGAUGCAAAAAAGAAGCCAUGAAUGGUGCCUGAUGAUAUCCUCGGUCCUGCUGGCCUGACCCCAAGGAGAACAGGACCUAUCCAGGAAGACACGGGGGCUUCCAAGUGCUGCUGGUUGGUCUGCCAGAGGGACCCACUCAGGUCCUGGUGGCCCCAGACAUUUGUUCCCCCACUGGGGUAGAGAACAGGUGGAAGUAUGUUCACCUGGCCCUGAUCCUUUGACCUGCCCCAUCUCUGGGAACCCUCCAUUAAGAACAUUCCAGCCACCCUGGCCCCGUGAGCCUGUUGAGGUGGAGUAACCCAGGGCUCCAGCCCCCAGCUCUUCAGAGCGGGAAACACCACAUCCCAGCUGUCUGUCCCAAAUCCACCUGGAGGCCAGCCAGCUUGGCCGAAGCCCAACUUAGUUAGUGUCUCCAGACCCAGGAGACACUGCCGGGAAGAGGCAAGGACUGGAAGGAGGCCGCCGGGCCAGAGACGGGCCCCUUUCUGGGGCCUGCCCCAUAGGGUUCCUCCUGGCACACCCGUGGGCUUGCCCAUUGCCACACAUUUCUGGGCCCCUGGCUCCCUGGGUCAUGGGCUCCAGGCCUUUCUGGGCAGUCCUAAAGAGAUGCUGGUUACUAUGACAGCUGGGGAUUGGACCCCACCCUGAUUGCAAGAGGCCUGCAGGCCUGGCCAGAGCCCCACUUAUUCAGAAGGGAAGGAAUCUGGUUGGGAACCAGGAGCCCUGCCUUGCAGACUUGAACUACAGAGACCCUCAUUCUGAGAGCAGCUCCUUCCGUCCUUCUGCCCUCCCACCCUCUUCAGCCAGCAGCUGUAUCAGCAGCAGCAGCUGCUGCAACCCAAGGGCCAACCCAAGGCUACCACUAGGCAGUGGAAGGAGGGACGAAGCUGAGGUGGUGGGGACCAGGACUGCUCCAUCCUCCCUAGUUCUGGGGAGCAGGCCCCUAUCAUCCUCCAGACACCAACCCCACUGCCCCCAGCCCUGGGCAGUCUCCUCCCUCCAUCUCAACUUUAUCCUCCACCCACUCAGCUCCCAGUUGAAAGACACUUUUUAGUUGCCCGUGGCAACUGGGUGCCACAAUGAGAGGCACCAAUGUGGCAGGAUGCAUGCCACAUUCCAUGCAAAUGUCCUCUUUGGCCCCUUUUACCUCCCAGAAAUAAGGGCAGGUGAAACCCAGAGUCAGAGUGGCCGAGAGCUGGAUGGAGAUGUCCAUCUGAGAGACUGUCCCCAAGGAUACCUGGUCAGAGGGAAGGGGGCAGUAGAGGAUGUAAGGCAGAGGCCCAGGAUCAAGGGCUCCUGCUGAGCAGCACAGACAAGGGGCAACUUGGGUACUUCUGUGGGGACCAAGACUGAGAAAAUCUAAUGAGGACAGUAGGUCCUUUCCCCUGAUGCUCAGGAAGGGUCACCUGAUAGAGAUGGGAAGAGUUAAGGGUACGAGCUUUGGAAGAGCACAAAAGGGUCUUUUGUGUCCUGAGAUUGCCCCUCACAGGCUGUGGGAUCUAGAGCAAGUGCCUUCACUUCUCUGGGCCUCACUUUCUUCUUGUGGAAAAUGGAGCUACUAUUGUACUUCUCGAGAGACUUAGAUCAAUCAGCAUGUGUGAGGUAUUCAGCCAGAGGUCCAGGUAUCUCUAGGUUGCCAACUCUAGGUUGGCCAUUAUCCCUGUUAUUUUCUGAGCUUUGAUGUCCUUGUCUGUCACAGGGAUAUAAUAAUAUAUGGAGCACCAUUGGCCAUGGGAUUGUGUGGAAUGAAGCUCACAAGGUGGGACACUUGGGAGAUGUCAGAGCAGGGUCCUGCUCCAAGCCUGUUUGCCCGCCCCAUGCCCAGCCCUACUCCUUGUUCUGUAGCAGAGGCAUCAGGGCCGGCCUCGUGCCCAGUCAGGCAACAGGUGGCAAGGCCGGCGGGUGCAGGUGCAGCCUUGCAGGGGAUGCAGGGGGUGGUCCCUCCUGUUUCCUCCCCACGUUGUUUCCCCAGCUGCUGGCUGGGCAGGCCGUGCCUGAGAGGAAGGCCACGCAGAGGGAAGCAGCAAACACAGCCACGUGCAUUCGGGGGGCUGAGUAAGCACCCCACUUCCUGCUACCAUCGUCAGCAGCUUUUGCGACUAUGGCCAGUGGAUGGCUCACAAUGCUCGCUGGGGCGGGAGCUCAGAGACCGGGCAGGGUCACUUCCCUGAAUUGUCCUUGCUGCCAGCUCCCCACAGCACACCUGGCCGGCCUGCCUGCUGCCCUGGGGAGCCACGGGGUGCCCUGCCCAGCCUGCAAGCACCAUCCUGGGUGGCAGCCGGCACCCAGGCCCACCAGGCCAGGAGGCGGGGCCUUGGCUGGGCACUGGUUCUGGGGUCUGGACUCAGUCUGAGUCUUGGCCCAAGCUCACUGGACCUCAGCCAGGCAUCAGGGUGAGCAUCCAUCUUGUGCAGGACUUGUACCAGGGCUGGGCUCAGGCCACCCUCUCUGCAGCCCUCCCUGGCAACGUGUCUCACUGUCUUGGUGGGCUUGGAGUACCCAAGACUCCGGCAGAUACACGCCAGUGGCCAAUAGUUGGAGACAUUAUCAACUGGACGACUCCAGGAAGUGUGUCCAGAGACGACUCUCACAGCUCGGAUGGGUAAAGAUGUCUACAGGGGACUGCUGGGGUCCUGGGAUAGCAUCACUGUUUUUGUUUUUGAGGUGCUGGGGAUGGCACCCAGGGCCUCCUGCAUGCCAGCAAGCACUCUACCACUGAGCACACCCCCCGCCCUCUCAUUUUCAGACAUUUCAGGAAGGGUACAAACUGGAACAAACUUUUUUGCAGGGCAAUUUGACAAUGUACAUCAAAACCCUUUGAACCAAGAAAUUAUAUUUCUAAGAAUUGAAGGGACAUGAGCAAUGAAUAUGUAUAAAGAUGCUCAUCCCUGCAUUGUUUGUAAUGGAGAUAACAUUGGAUAUAACCCAGAUGCCCGAUUAUGGCUGGGUUUGAAAAGAAAAAUUUAGCCACAUGGUGGUAAAUAUUUCCUAGGUGUAUAAGUAUUAAAUAUGAUGCCAAAAGUGGCGCUCUCAACCUUGAACAUGCACAAGAAUUCCCCAGGGGUCUUGCUAAUAUGCGGGUUCUGAUUCACCAGGUGUGGGAUGGAACCUAAAAGUCUGCGUUUCUAAUGGUCUCCCAGGUGAUGCCUGUGCUUUGAUCCCUGGACCAUACUUUGCACAGCAAAGCUGUAGAAUUUUCACUAGUAACUUGAAAAAGCAUCCCCAAACUACGAUAAAAUGAAGAAAAGCAUGCUACAAAAUAAUAGGAUUUUUUUUUUUUAAUGAUCUUGGAGAUUGAAUCCAGGGGUGCUAAGCCACAUCCCUUGCCCUUUUUAUAUUUGCUUUUGAGACAGAGAUUUGCUAAGUGGCCUAGGGUCUUGCAAAGUUUACUGAGGCUGGCUUUGAACUUGGGCUCCUCUUGCAUCAGCCUCCCAGGUUGCUGGGAUUAUAGGCAUGAGUCACUGCCUGACUCCUUUUUGAAUGUCCUCCCCCUGGGAACCCAUUGGGACCAACAGGGUGGUAGCAGAGAGAAUCAGAAAGACACCCAGGGGAAGGUGGACCGGUUGUGAAGAUGGAGAUGGCACUCCCAGGCUUGCUCAUGCAGAGGUGCCAACCUCCCAGGGUCCAGCUUUUGUUACAACGGAGAAUAUGUUCCUUACCACGUGGACACUGUGCUCUCCUACUUGAGGAGGCAGUGACUCCAGAGAAGGUGCUCAAGCUUCUGCUCAGGAUUGGAUGGGGCCCGAUGGAUGAUUUGGGUAGUCCCUGUAAUCUUCAACGAGUGCUGAGAUUUUGCAGCCAUAAUAGAAAUAAUGUUUUGUGUGCUUCACGGGGCUGAGAGCUUCAAAUGCUUAGAAAAUCUCUGCAAAUUCUGAAGGCCUAGGCCAAAGCUGAGAAGCCUGCCUUUCCCUUUUGUUCUUCUUCAGAGACAAAAUGGCACAACCCUUCCAUGUUGCCCUCCAUGGCUUGCCAGAUAUGAUUCUGUUCCCCCAGACGUCACACAGGCCAGACCUGUGGCCUUGGAAUGUUCAUUUUUCAAUGCACUGGUUAAUCCAUAAGAUGUUUUUGGGUGUUGCUAUGGAGUGGUCCCUGGUGUAACCGUGUUGAGCGGGCCCUUUAUGAGGUGUUCAGGACCUGGGAGUCCAGGAAAGGCAUGAAUGACAUUCCCGUGAGUUGGUUCUCAGGGGAGUGAGUGAAUUUUUGCUCUCUGGGGGCUGGAUCAGUGACUGGGAGAGGUGGUUGUUAGGAAGUGAGGCACCCCUCAUGUUUUUGCUUGCCCCUCUGCUUUCCCACCAGGAAAAGGCCCUUACCAGAAGCCAAGCAGAAGCCCGGGCCAUGCUCCUCGAGUUCCUGGCAUCCUAAACCGUGAGCCCAAAUGCGUUUCUCUCCUUUAUACAUCACCCGGUCUCAGGUACUCCAGGAUGUCAACAGAAAGCAAGCUGACACAGGAGCAUUGGAGAUAAUUUUACUCGAACGCAGACACAGACUUUAAUGGCACUGGACCAUGGAGUGUGAAAACUGUCCCUUCUCAAUCCUCUCUUGAACUUUCCAAAGAGUGGAGGAGAAAGCCUCAGAGAGGGGCCAGCCUGUCUCUAAUGCCUCACAAGCACUUGCUAAGUUUGCUUUUUAACAAAAAGAGAGCAGACCUCAGGCCCAAAGUCCUCACUGGCAACAUUCAACUAUAAUUUCAUUUAUUUGUAUGAGUUACCUUUCUAUUUAAGGUAGUGAUAUAAAGUUUCCUUUAAAAAUAUUUUUUAAGUUUUUUUUAAAAACAGCUUAAAUUCAACAAACAAAUAUAGAGUAGGUGGUUUUUGGAUGUGGCA